GGACGGUUAGCUCAGCUGGUUAGAGCGCCACGUUGACAUCGUGGAGGUCGUUGGUUCGAUCCCAAUAUCGUCCA
rnacentral:tRNA from 1 species